UUUUGAAGAGUAAAUUCUAUGUUUCGAAGAGUAAAUUCUAAGAUUUGAAGAGAAAAUACUCUUCGAAACAUAGAAUUUACUCUUCAAAA